CCUCCCCAGCCACGCGAAGCAGAAGGAGAGUGCAUGAGAUUAUAUAAAGACUCAGAGAAGAGAUACAGCUCCUCCCGCACCAGAGAAAUGCAGCUCCGUGAGCCCCGAUGGAGCCAGCAUGCUGCUGGGUGCUGAGGAGCAGGCAGAGGCACCCAGGAUGGCGGUCCCCAAGGAGAACGGAGGCACAGAACAACGCAUGAGGGGCCACAUGACUUAGGGCCGGGAUCGGUCACUCAGCCAGCAAAAACACUGGAAGAAAACAAAACAACUUCAGACUCUAUGCUGCAUUUCCGUAAUAUAUCUGCCCAAAGACUGGACAACAAAGGUAAAGGAGGCUGAUGAGGAAACGAAAGGAUCCGUGGUUCUUGGCUCGCUGGGUGGCUCAUCAACAAAGCCCCAGCAUCACUCCUGCAGAUGCCCUAGCCUGGCCUGGGCUGGGAUGGGCAAAAUUCACCAUGGGACUCUUGUUCAAGAGAGGGAGAUCAAAGCCAGAAACACUUACCCAGAAUGGCCAUGCAGACUAAAAUUCCAAUUCUAAAAAUACUUUUAAAAUGUAACGUACAACAAAGGAAAGCUGGAAAAAUAUUUAAAAAAGGAUGAAAGGGCAAGAAAAAUUCAACCCACGACCUCAAGGCGAUUAUAAUCUGUGUUCUGCUGCUUCCCAGAGCCGCUUCAGUCUUCAGCUCAGAGUCUACCAGACACUAAAAUGCAACUGAACACUCAGUUCAUACUUGUUCUUCUAAUUAGCUGCCUCUUCCAUUUGAUUAAUAUUGCCUCCUAAUUUAAUUGUAAAUUGUAUUUCUGGUUUAUAUUUCGCUUCUCCCUCCUGUUGUACCUGGUGACCAUCUUCAUUAAUCAUAUUGUAGCUUUUUAAUGAAUCUCAUAUGCCAAUUUAUGGUGAACAAGACUUGAUAUGAAGGCAUCUUCAUCAAAUCAUUCAUAAUCUUGUAACUAUUGGUUUAUUUUCUGUAACGACCUAUAAAUGUACACCAAAAAAAUGAAAGAUUCCCCCUAAAAUGUAAUGGGACAGAACUUUGUUUACGUAGAUUUCUGAGGAUGGGUUGAGACGCCAAAUUCCGCUUGUGUUUGGAAUUUCUAUUUCACUGGGCUUAGUGAGGGUGCCCAUGUUUUGCAAUCCUGUGCUCUAGAAUCUAUCAUAAACAGAUUCUUCUAAUUGUUUGACAUUAAACUGCAAAUUUGUGUUUUUGUGUCUGCUCAAAUAUAAAAUGUCUUUGGG
rnacentral:lncRNA from 1 species